UCACACACAUGGCAUGUGAAUUUAUUCAAGGGGGUCAAUUGUUCCUUAAGCUCGAGACAAAUAUGGAGUAUUCACUAUUAUUUUGAAGCAAAUUUUUGGAGCCAUAGAGAGGAUCAGUUUUGUUACAAAGUUGCUCACGUCCAUGCCCUCGAAUUUUACAAAAAUUUCCAGACAGAGGGGGUUGUUCUACAUAGUAUUAGGUAGUUGGUCAGGUAAAGGAUGACCAAGCCAAUGAUGCUUAGCUGGUAUUUUUGGAUGAUCAGCCAUACUGGGAUGAGACACUGCCCAACUCCCAUGGAGGACAGCAGUAGGGAAUCUUGGACAAUGGGCGAAAGCCCAAUACA
rnacentral:ncRNA from 1 species